rnacentral:rRNA from 1 species
AUGGGCGGUAUUAUUGCUAAACGGUUAAGUUUGAACCGUACUAAGGGUCCCAUCUUUGGAGGUAUUUAUGCUUCACGCCUUGCUGCACAUUAUAACAUACCUAUUAGGCUCUAUGAGAAAGAAGAAAAAUUACUGCCCAAUGCUUAUUUAGAUUAUAAGAGUAUGGUAGUGCAUGACUUUAUUGUUAAGAACAAGGAAGGGGAGCUUAAAUACAAAUUGUUCUUUGAUAAACAUCACCCUGAGACUAUUACCUUGCCUGCUCCUUCCUUGUUUAAUUUAUCUGAAGGUCCGUAUCUCGUUCCGUGGGCGGCCAUUUACGCUUACCGGAACUCUACACCAGCCCCGGAGCCGGAACCACAAUUUGAGCCUCCACGAAAGUCUGAUUACUUUUGGGAUCCGGAGAUGACUGCCAGCCAGUGGCAGUCAGAGUCCUCUUCAUCUCAGUACGACCCCAGCUACAACUAUGGAUAUCCGCCAGGCCAUCCGUGGCAAUAA